rnacentral:rRNA from 1 species
AGAGUUUGAUCAUGGCUCAGAACGAACGCUGGCGGCGUGCUUAACACAUGCAAGUCGAGUGCGCGGUUGUAGCAAUACAACUGGCGCACGGCGCACGGGUGCGUAACACGUGGGUAACCUGCCCUUUGGUGGGGAAUAACUCCGCGAAAGCGGAGCUAAUUCCGCAUAAGAUCCGCAAGGAUGAAAGCCGCAAGGCGCCGAAGGAGGGGCCCGCGCCCGAUUAGCUAGUUGGUAGGGUAACGGCCUACCAAGGCUUUGAUCGGUAGCUGGUCUGAGAGGAUGAUCAGCCACACUGGAACUGAGACACGGUCCAGACUCCUACGGGAGGCAGCAGUGGGGAAUCUUGCACAAUGGGCGAAAGCCUGAUGCAGCGACGCCGCGUGGGGGAUGAAGCAUUUCGGUGUGUAAACCCCUUUCGAUCCGGACGAAACCCCGCAAGGGAUUGACGGUACAGAUAUAAGAAGCCCCGGCUAACUACGUGCCAGCAGCCGCGGUAAGACGUAGGGAGCCAGCGUUGUUCGGAAUUACUGGGUGUAAAGGGUUCGUAGGCGGUGCGGCAAGUUGGGAGUGAAAUCUCUGGGCUUAACCCAGAGGCUGCUUCCAAAACUGCUGUGCUUGAGUGUGGGAGAGGCGCGUGGAAUUGCAGGUGUAGCGGUGAAAUGCGUAGAUAUCUGCAGGAACACCCGUGGCGAAAGCGGCGCGCUGGACCACUACUGACGCUGAGGAACGAAAGCUAGGGGAGCAAACAGGAUUAGAUACCCUAGUAGUCC